rnacentral:tRNA from 1 species
GUAUGCGUAGCUAAGUGGUUGAAAGCACCGGGCUCAUAAUCCGUUUCGUAAGACAUCGCUGGUUCGAAUCCAGUCGCAUACA